CGCAGCCCAUCCACAAAGCCCACAACCGAGAGACGCCGAGCAACACCGGCCAGCUCACCUCCACAGGCCCUUCACCACACCGGCUUCACCGCCUAGACAUGCAUGCGAUCAGACACAUGGAGAAAGCACCCACAGAGCUCCGUUCUUCCGGCCUUUGCUUUGGUUUGGAUAAAGGGGUGGUUUUUCCAAUACACAGAGUGCCCAAAGGGGCUAGUUUGGGGGCUCCGGUCCUGUGGGCUGCAGAUUCCCACCAGGGAUGGUUCUAUCUAAAUUGCCGUGGAAGGAGACAAAGCAGG